UUUUGAGUUCGGUCAUUUUUUCAAAAGAUUGUUUUUUGUUUUGUUUUGAUACUUACAUGUAGAAUUAGUGUGUGAGUCCCUAUUCAGUUCCCUGCAACUUUGCAGUAGAGGUUUCUUCAGUCAGUUUGAGUUUCUCUCAUUGUGAUAGCUUGCUAUUUUUCCAGGUCUGCCUUGUAAUUGAAUGCACCCUAUACGCUUGCAUUGCAUUGGCACACUAUGAUGCUGGACCCCUCACCUGCAUACUGUAUAUCCAUGGCAGAUGGCAAUCAGAUCAAGCCCCUUAUUGUCAUAAUAUGUACUCUUGGAGCAUUGAUGAUGGUCCAAGCAAGAUGGUCAGAUUGUGGAAUCAAAGAGGGCCAGCAGUCUACAACCUUCAGAAGAGGAGUUGAGAAAAAUGUUAACGUUUUCUUUAAAAGGCUGUUGUUUGCAAGUGGAUAGAAGCAGAGAUGGUAGUGAGAGUGGAAGAAACAUGUGCUGUCCAUCCAGGAGAAGUCUGUCUAAUGCAGUGAUUCAAUCCUGGCAGGAGGAGUUUCUGUUUUGGUUGCUGUAGCAGAGGCUCCACUAUAAAAUGCUGACCAACCACAGAGGGCACUAUUACCACUCCAUGAAGCCUACUACAUCACACAGUGGUAGUGGAAAGCUUAAAGGGAAAAAAAGAACGGAACACUGCCUUAAUUGCACAGUGGUAAUGGAAAGAGGAAAAAAAAGGACUGAACACUGCCUUAAUGGCACAAUGGUAAUGGGAAGAGGGUGAGAGAAAAGAAGAAUUGAACACUGCCAUAAUCACACAAUGGUAACAGAAAGAGGAAAAAACUGAACACCGCCUUCAUGGCACAAUGGUAAUGAAAAGAGGAAAAAAGAACUGAAUGCUGCCUGAAUUCCCUGAUUUACAUCACAGCAGUAGCCCCCCCCACACU
rnacentral:misc_RNA from 1 species